rnacentral:rRNA from 1 species
AGUGAACGCUGGCGGUAGGCUUAACACAUGCAAGUUGAACGGCAGCACAGGAGCGCUUGCUCUCCGGGUGGUGAGAGGCGGACGGAUGAGGAAUAUAUCGGUAUCUGUCCAGUCGUGGGGGAUAAUGUUGGGAAACUUAUGCUAAUACCGCAUCCGACUUUCGGUUGUACGGGGGGGAUCGCAAGACCUGUCGUGGUUGGAUGUGCCGACGUCGGAUUAGCUAGUUGGCGGGGUAAUGGCCGACCAAGGCGUCGUUCUGUAGCUGGUCUGAGUGGUUUAUCGGCCACACUGGAGCUGGUACACGGUCCAGACUCCUACGGGAGGAGGCAGUGAGUAAUAUUGGACAAUGUGCGCAAGCCUAAUCCAGCCAUACCGCUUGGAUGAAGAAGGCCUUCGAGUUGAAGAGCCCUUUUGUUGAGAAAGAAGUCUUACAUGCUAAUACCCUGGGAGGAUGACGGUACCCUAAGAAUAAGCACCGGCUAACUACGUG